UCAAUUGUCGGAAUCUAACGUCACUACCUGACAAGAUGCACAUACUCCUUCCGUCUCUUUGGAGUUUGCAUUUAGAGAAUUGUCCAGAAGUUGAGUCAUUCCCUGAAGGAGGCAUGCCUUCCAAACUAAAAAUUAUUCACAUCGAAGACUGUGACAAACUCCUCGCCAAUAGAAGGGGAUGGGGAUUGCAAAAUGUCCCCUCCAUUCGAGUCAUUGUUAUCAAAGGCAAUUGUAAAGAUGUGGAUUCCUUUCCGGAGGCGGGGUUACUUCCCACUAGUUUGUUAAGUAUUUCCAUCGGAGAUUUUCCAAAUAUGGUAUCUUUGGACUAUAAGGCACUUCGACACCUCACCUCUCUUGCUGAAUUGUCAAUAUGUUCCUGCCCCAAGUUGAAGUUUAUGCAAGAAGAAGGGUUGCCUGCCUCCAUUUCUAUUCUACGGAUCAGCAAAUGUACUUUGUUGGAAAAACAACUGGAAAGCAAAAAAGGAAAAGCAUGGCGCAAGAUUGCUCACAUCCCCGGCAUUUAUAUUAAUGGUACAUUGAUUUGACCAAACUACAAGUCUAGCAGGAGUCCCCAAUUUCAGUUAUAUUAUCUACAACACGGAUGGACGACGACAAAGGUUUGUUCCGGUGAUGCGUGUUUCUACAGAUUUCCUUUUGGAUGUUCGUCAUCGUACGAGACUUUUUUUUUUUUUUUAACACGUUUUUGAAGUCCAAAUUUCCAAUCCAGAUGCAGUCUUCAGGGCAAGGACUAGGCACUGUAAAUUCCCUAGAAUGUGAGCU